CUAGAUUCUAGAUCGAUGGUGCUUGUCGGGGCAAAUCUAUUGAUCCCAAACACGAUGGAGUUAUGAUGAAUAGAUUAGGACUUCUGGGGACCAACUCCUGACCCCAUCUCGUAAUGGAGUCAGGAGUUGGUCACCAGAAGAGUCUCAUGACUCUGGACCUCAUCUAGAUAGAUGGUGCUCGUCAGGGCAAAUCUAAUGAGCCCAAUCACGAUAGAGUGAUAAUGAGUAGAUUAGGAUUUCUGGUGACCAACUCCUGACUCCAUCAUGAGAACCUGGACUUCAUCUAGAUCAAUGGUGCUCGUCGGGGCAAAUCUAUUGAGCCCAAACACGAUGGAGUUAUGAUGAGUAGAUUAGAACAUCUGGUGACCAUCUCAUGAUGGAGUCAGGAGCUGGUCACCAGAAGGGUCUCAUGACCCUGGACCUCAUCUAGAUAGAUGGUGCUCGUCGAGGCAAAUCGAUUGAGCCCAAACACGAUGGAGUGAUAAUGAGUAGAUUAGGAGUUCUGGUGACCAACUCCUGACUCCAUCAUGAGAACCUGGACCUCAUCUAGAUCGAUGGUGUUCGUCAAGGAAAAUCUAUUGAGCCCAAACAGGAUGGAGUUAUGAUGAGUAGAUUAGGAUAGAUUAGGAGUUCUGGUGACCAACUCCUGACUCCAUCAUGAGAACCUGGACCUCAUCUAGAUCGAUGGUGUUCGUCAAGGAAAAUCUAUUGAGCCCAAACACGAUGGAGUUAUGAUGAGUAGAUUAGGAGUUCGGUGACCAUUCCUGACUCCAUCAUGAGAACCUGGACAUCAUCCAGGUCGUCCGGGUAUAAUAAAAAUGCAAACCCUAACCAGAAUUCAAGUAACACUGAAAAUCUAUCACAUAAGCGAGAGUCGGUUGUUAAAAUUAAAUAUGGUGUAAAAAAUGUACACCCUUGGAUCAAGAUUUUCUAAUCAUAGUAUACAGCACUUCUCGGAACUCUCUCGAUGGUUACGAAAGCAACGAACGCCUGACGGUCGAGCACAGGUCCAUCCCCUAAGCGCACUCGGCGGAGACUGAGCGCGCGGUGUCGGUGCAGCGUGAUUUAUACGUCUUUAAAAAAAUAUAGAUUUACGGCUAGGUAGGUCCUAUAGUUAUGAUUUUUUUUUUAUGAGUAGACAUAAAGUUACAAUUUGAUAAAAUAUUAUUUUUGGGGCAAAAUAUAAGUCCAAUUUGCGAUAAAAAAAUGUAAUGUAACCCUGUUUUCACCAAAAAAAUGAAGAAAACUCGGAAGGUUUUUUAUCAAUUUUUUAAAAUGAAUCUUCGAUUUUCAAGCAUGUCAGCCCCUCGUACAAGAUAUGGUGAGUUGAAUUGUAAUCAUUCAUGUACCAAAUGAUUCUUGUUUACUGCAAAAUUGAGAACCGAAACGACCCUUCUCACUGCAAAAUUUGAAAAAGACUCCUAAGAAAACUCAUU